CAAUUCCAAACUGAAUUGUGAACAGAAGUGACCAAACUAGAUCUUGCUAUCCACACAAACAUCAUGCAGCCAAAGAGUAAGUUGGGAUCAUAGUACUGGUCUAGUGUUGUCUCAUUGGACAUAAUUUACCACUGGCCAGCCUCCAAAUUCCCAUACAGAA
ensembl:snoRNA small nucleolar RNA SNORA23